rnacentral:rRNA from 1 species
AACGAACGCUGGCGGCAGGCCUAACACAUGCAAGUCGAACGAAGUCUUCGGACUUAGUGGCGCACGGGUGAGUAACGCGUGGGAGCGUGCCCUUUAGUACGGAAUAACAGUUGGAAACGACUGCUAAAUACCGUAUAUGCCUUCGGGUGAAAGAUUUAUCGCUAAAGGAUCGGCCCGCGUUAGAUUAGAUAGUUGGUGAGGUAAUGGCUCACCAAGUCGACGAUCUAUAGCUGGUUUGAGAGGAUGAUCAGCCACACUGGGACUGAGACACGGCCCAGACUCCUACGGGAGGCAGCAGUGAGGAAUAUUGGACAAUGGGGGCAACCCUGAUCCAGCCAUGCCGCGUGAGUGAAGAAGGCCCUAGGGUUGUAAAGCUCUUUAGCUCGUGAGGAUAAUGACCGUAACGAGAGAAUAAG